rnacentral:rRNA from 1 species
UAGGGAAUCUUCCACAAUGGACGCAAGUCUGAUGGAGCAACGCCGCGUGAGUGAAGAAGGUUUUCGGACCGUAAAGCUCUGUUGUUGGUGAAGAAGGAUAGAGGUAGUAACUGGCCUUUUAUUUGACGGUAAUCAACCAGAAAGUCACGGCUAACUACGUGCCAGCAGCCGCGGUAAUACGUAGGUGGCAAGCGUUGUCCGGAUUUAUUGGGCGUAAAGCGAGCGCAGGCGGAAGAAUAAGUCUGAUGUGAAAGCCCUCGGCUUAACCGAGGAAUUGCAUCGGAAACUGUUUUUCUUGAGUGCAGAAGAGGAGAGUAGAACUCCAUGUGUAGCGGUGGAAUGCGUAGAUAUAUGGAAGAAUACCAGUGGCGAAGGCGGCUCUCUGGUCUGCAACUGACGCUGAGGCUCGAAAGCAUGGGUAGCGAACAGGAUUAGAUACCCUUGG